AGAACGAACGCUGGCGGCAGGCUUAACGCAUGCAAGUCGAACGCCCCGCAAGGGGAGUGGCAGACGGGUGAGUAACGCGUGGGAAUCUACCUAGUUCUACGGAACAACAGAGGGAAACUUCUGCUAAUACCGUAUACGCCCUAAGGGGGAAAGAUUUAUCGGAAUUAGAUGAGCCCGCGUAAGAUUAGCUAGUUGGUGGGGUAAUGGCCUACAAGGCGACGAUCUUUAGCUGGUCUGAGAGGAUGAUCAGCCACACUGGGACUGAGACACGGCCCAGACUCCUACGGGAGGCAGCAGUGGGGAAUAGUUGGAACAAGUGGGCGACAACGGCCUAGAUCCAGCCAUGCCGCGUGAGUGAUGAAGGCCUUAGGGU
rnacentral:rRNA from 1 species